ACCUACGGGAGGCAGCAGUGGGGAAUAUUGGGCAAUGGAGGCAACUCUUACCCAGCAAUGCCGCGUGAAUGAAGAAGGUCUUCGGAUUGUAAAGUUCUUUAAUUGGGGACGAAAAAAAUGACGGUACCCAAGGAAUAAGCCCCGGCUAACUACGUGCCAGCAGCCGCGGUAAUACGUAGGUGGCAAGCGUUAUCCGGAAUUACUGGGUGUAAAGGGUGCGUAGGCGGGGCUGCAAGUCAGAUGUGAAAAUUAUGGGCUCAACCCAUAACCUGCGUCUGAAACUGUAGCUCUUGAGAGUGGGAGAG
rnacentral:rRNA from 1 species